UACGGGGGGGGCAAGCGUUGUUCGGAAUUACUGGGCGUAAAGGGUGCGUAGGCGGUCCGCUAAGUUAGAUGUGAAAACUCUGGGCUUAACCCAGAGCCUGCAUCUAAUACUGACGGGCUAGAGUUCUGGAGGGGGUAGCGGAAUUCCUGGUGUGGCGGUGAAAUGCGUAGAUAUCAGGAGGAACACCGGUGGCGAAGGCGGCUACCUGGACAGAAACUGACGCUGAGGCACGAAAGCCAGGGGAGCGAACGGG
rnacentral:rRNA from 1 species